rnacentral:rRNA from 1 species
UACGAAGGGGGGCUAGCGUUGCUCGGAAUCACUGGGCGUAAAGGGUGCGUAGGCGGGUCUUUUAAGUCAGGGGUGAAAUCCUGGAGCUCAACUCCAGAACUGCCUUUGAUACUGAGGAUCUUGAGUUCGGGAGAGGUGAGUGGAACUGCGAGUGUAGAGGUGAAAUUCGUAGAUAUUCGCAAGAACACCAGUGGCGAAGGCGGCUCACUGGCCCGAUACUGACGCUGAGGCACGGAAAGCGUGGGGAGCAAACAGG